GACGAACGCUGGCGGCGUGCUUAACACAUGCAAGUCGUACGGUAAGGCCCUUUCGGGGGUACACGAGUGGCGCACGGGUGAGUAACACGUGAGUAACCUGCCCACAACUUUGGGAUAACGCUAGGAAACUGGUGCUAAUACUGGAUAUGUGCCCCUGCUGCAUGGUGGGGGUUGGAAAGCUCCGGCGGUUGUGGAUGGACUCGCGGCCUAUCAGCUUGUUGGUGGGGUAGUGGCCUACCAAGGCGGCGACGGGUAGCCGGCCUGAGAGGGUGACCGGCCACAUUGGGACUGAGAUACGGCCCAGACUCCUACGGGAGGCAGCAGUGGGGAAUAUUGCACAAGGGGCGCAAGCCUGAUGCAGCAACGCCGCGUGCGGGAGGACGGCCUUCGGGUUGUAAACCGCUUUCAGCAGGGACGAAGCUUUUUGUGACGGUACCUGCAGAAGAAGCACCGGCUAACUACGUG
rnacentral:rRNA from 1 species